rnacentral:lncRNA from 1 species
CGCUGCCGUUGUCUCUGCUCGCGCCCCUGCCCAGAUCGAACGAGCGAGGAGACCGCUCAUGUUGACCGCGUCAUGGCCUUCAGAUCGGGCCCAACGCCGCCUCGGCCUGUGAUUGGCGUCUCCAUCGACUGGGCCAUGGCCCAUGGUGAGGACACCCCCGUGCGCCCUCCUUUUUUGCCCCCGCAGUUGGGUCAGAUCUCAGAUUCGGCCCAUGUUCUUUUUUUUCCUCUCUGCGAAUUUAGCUAUUUAUCCGCAGUUUAUAGUUUUGCAGAAAAGACCUUCAUCUUCAUGCAUAUCAUAUCUCACAAACCGUGCAUCACAUGUAAAUAACUUAUAUAUGAAAAGUGCUUAGAACUUUGUCUAGUUUCAUAAUAUCCAACUUUCAUCCAUGUUUGAAAAGUUUAAAAUGUUGCUUGUUUAAAUUUGCUCAAAUGUCAUGUUAAAAUGCUUUAAUUCAUAACUAAUUAACCGUAGCUCCAAACCUAACAAACUUUAUAUGUAAAUGGGGUAGAAAAAUGCCUAGUUUAACAUGGUGACCUUAGUUUGCAUGUUUAACAACUCUAAAAUUGUGUUUAGGGCAGAACAGUACCAAACCUAAUUUAUGCAUAUGGGGAUUUACCCGAAUUGUUGCUCGUUGCUUCCGACCUCAUUUAAACUUUCCUAGAUAGGUAGUUUUGUUGUGCUUCACCCCUUGCCAUGUUAAUCAACAUUUAAUAUUGUUGGGUACACAAACGGGAGAGAACUAAAUAAUUGUUGUGGUGUUUCGUCAAUAUGCAACUCGUCGCAUAUUGAGCUCCAUUUAAUUUUGUAGUUUUGCUUGUGCACUUUGCCAUGCCAUGCAUAAUUAAACCGGGCAUGCAUCAUACUUGGUUGUGCAUCAUGCCAUGCUUAUGUCGCGGUUGUUUACUAUGUUGUGUGCUUCUUUCCGGUGUUGCUUCUUCGGGUUGGUUCCGUUAACGUCGCGUUUGUGAGGAACCGUUCGACUAUGUCCGUUUAUCUUCUUCAUGGACUCGUUCUUCUUCCUUGCGGGAUUUCAGGCAAGAUGACCAUACCCUCGAAAUCACUUCUAUCUUUGCUUGCUAGUUGCUCACUCUUUUUCUUUGCCUAUGCCGCGAUACCUACCACUUGCUUAUCAUGCCUCCCAUAUUGUUAAGCCAAGCCUCUAACCCACCUUGUCCUAGCAAACCAUUGUUUGGCUAUGUUACCGCUUUGCUCAGCCCCUCUUAUAGUGUUGUUAGUUGCAGGUGAAGAUUGGAGUUUGUUCCUUGUUGGAACAUGGAUAUUUUGUUGGGAUAUCAUAAUAUCUCUUAUUUAAUUAAUGCAUCUAUAUACUUGGUAAAGGGUGGAAGGCUCGGCCUUAUGCCUGGUGUUUUGUUCCACUCUUGCCGUCCUAGUUUCCGUCAUAUCGGUGUUAUGUUCCCGGAUUUUGCGUCCCUUACACGGUUGGGUUAUAAUGGGAACCCCUUGACAGUUCGCCUUGAAUAAAACUCCUCCAGCAAGGCCCAACAUUGGUUUGACCAUUCGCCACCUAGCCUCUUUUUCCCUUGGGUUAGGCCAGCCCAAGGGUCAUCUUUAUUUUAACCCCCCCGGGCCAGUGCUUGUCUAAGUGUUGGUCCAAACUGAGCGAUGUCCGGAGCUACCAGGGGCAACUCUGGGCUGGCCCACCCGACGUCUUGAUCAUCCGGUGUGCCCUAAGAACGAGACAUGUGCAGCUCCUAUCGGGAUUUGUCGGCACAUCUGGGUGGCUUUGCUGGACUUGUUUUACCAUUGUCGAGGAUGUCUUUUAACCGGGAUGCCGAGUCUGAUCGGAUUGUCUUGGGAGAAGGAAUAUCGUUCGUUGACCGUGAGAGCUUGUGAUGGGACACCCCUGCAGGGAUUAUAACUUUCGAAAGCCGUGCCCGCGGUUAUGGACAGAUGGGAAUUUGUUAAUGUCCGGUUGUAGAAAACCUGAAGUUUAUCUUAAUUAAAAUGCACCAACCACGUGUGUAACCGUGAUGGUCUCUUCUCGGCGGAGUCCGGGAAGUGAACACGGUGUUUGAGUUAUGCUUGACGUAGGUUGUUCUAGGAUCACUUCUUGAUCAUAGUUUCUCGACCGUGCUUUGCCUCCUCUUCUCGCUCUCUUUUGCGUAUGUUAGCCACCAUAUAUGCUAUUGCUUGCUGCAGCUCCACUUCAUACCUUUUACCCUUCCUAUAAGCUUAAAUAGUCUUGUUCGCGAGGGUGUGAGAUUGCUGAGUCCCCGUGACUCACAGAUUACUUCAAAAACCAGCUUGCAGGUGCCGUUGAUACCUUGCAGGUGACAUAGCCGAGCUCAAGGAGAAGCUCGAUAAAGAUCCCGUUCAUUGUGUUGAUCCGUUUCCAGUUGAUUAGUAGUGGAGCCCAGUUGGGACGAUCGGGGAUCUGUGUAGCAUUUGGGGUAGUCUUCUUUUAUUUUGGGUUCCGUAGUCGGACCUUGUGUGUAUCUGGAUGAUGUAAUGUUAUAUUCAUGUAUUGUGUGAAG